AAAUAGUGAGGUCGCAAGUUAAAAUAUUUUAUGUACAUAUGUACAUAUGUAUCUAUAGAAGUAUCUUGAUUUAGUGUUUUUGUGCAAUUUAUGUUCAUUAUGUGAAAAAUGUAUACGUACUUCUCGAUUAUGUAACAUCUAUAUAAUUCGUAUCUACAUGCUAUUUUUCAAAAAUAUUGUGUCUGACACUGUAAUGAUAGCUUACUAAAACUACAAUUUACAUAGCAAUAGUAUUACUACAGAGAAUGCUGUAAUUCAUGUAUUCUUGAGUAUGUAGAUCUGUUUAAUUUUAAAUACAACAUACUACACAGUAUUUCUACAAGUAUAACUACAUUCAUACAAGCAUAUCUUAGUUCAUAAACCAAGUACAAUUUUUUUACAUAAAGAAAAGUUAGAUUUCUAUGACAUAUGUAUAUACAUAUCAGAUUUACAAAUAUAUCAUAGUGUUAUUAUAGUAUUACUUUAUUGAACCUGUACCAUGGUUUACAUAUGUAAAAGAUUUAUUAUACGAAAUUAGGAAUGCUAUUUGAACUCAUAUUCAAACUACACUAGAUGUAACAUUGUGUAAUUUCUAAUAAUUUGUAUUGUUUUUAAUAUUAUAACAGAAUAUAUAUUUAGGCUGCAAUUCCAACAACACCACAAGCAAGACGAGCUCCAGCAUUUCCUGUUGUUUUUGAUAAUUCAACUCCACCUUUACCAAGGUCAUCUGGAUCUGCAUGAA